GAAAAGAUUGGUGGCAUCUAUGCAAAACAAAAGUGAGUUUUGGCUUACGUAACACAAGCAAGCAAGAACCAAAGAAACAUUCUCUUUUUCUUUUCUUACUUCUUCACUUCACUUCAUUUCAUUUCAAACCAAAACCAAAUCUCGUAGGAACACUCAUGCACGCGUUACACUGAAAAAGACUCAUGAACCUUACCUUCAUCUCCAGGAGUUGGGAUCCAAGCUCCACACUCUUCCUUCUUCCAAAGAUGGCCUCAUUACGCUCCUAAAGGAGAAAACUGAGUGGAAAAAGGGUGUUCUUCUGUGCAUGAGAUUGGAGUGAAAGAAGUAGAGGGAGAAAUUAGCAGCUGCAACUGCUUACAUUUAUUCUAUUGUAUAAUUUUCUAAUGAACCCUGGAUUUAGUUGAACCACACAUUAUGGCAUUACUAGUGAAAGUGAGCAUGUCUGGAUGGAUUAAGGGUCCCUUUAAAUUUCAAUAUGCAUUCCAGGUUGAAAGGGUUGUUCACUUGAGUUGUAUUACGAGAUAAGUUGAGAAACACCGUUUUAUUCCAAAAAACAUAACUCAGAAGAUUUGGGAUUGGAACUGCUGAAUGUUUGGUCUGCUUUUUUGCAUUAUUCUUAUAAUCGAAUGGUUUUGAUGUAUACUAAUAGGUAGUCAAUUGUGCCGGUAUAAGAAAUAUCAAACAGUGAAUAAUAGAAAGUGAAGAAGAGAGAGAGAGAGAGAGAGAGAGAGAGAGAGAGAGAGAGUAAAAUCACUUCUCAAAUUUUAUAAACUGAGUUCUUGAAUUACAAAGAGAAACCUAAACCCUAUUUAUCAGAGAAGACUACAACAAGCUAACUAAGACAGUUAGCUGAAUUAGUUACUCUACUGUUACUAAUUACUAAUAUAACAAACUAAAAUACAUUUUAACAAACUAUCUAACAGUAUUGUCUAAUAGCCGGUAUAGCGGGUGAUCGCAUUCUGUUCUGGGGGUCGUUGCCACACUAUUGACAUGAGCAUUGUAUUUAUGUGUCGCGGGUGGUGUGGGCCGCUUUUGCAGCCACCAUAGAGGGUUUCAUAGCGAGAUUCAUCUGAGACAAUGACGACGGCGUGAAAGCGCAGCUCCUCGACCCACUAAUAAUCCCUAACCAUGCAACCCUAUCGGGUCCCAUGCAACCUCUUGUGAAAUACCCUUUCAUUGCAUUUAUGUGUCGCGGGUGGUGUGGGCUGCUUUUGCAGCCAUCAUAGAGGGUUUCAUAGCGAGAUUCGUCUGCGACAAUGACGACGGCGUGAAAGCGCAGCUCCUCGACCCAUUAAUAAUCCCUAACCAUGCAACCCUAUCGGGUCCCAUGCAACCUUGUGUGAAAUACCCUUUCAUUGCAUUUAUGUGUCGCGGGUGGUGUGGGCCACUUUUGCAGCCACCAUAGAGGGUUUCAUAGCGAGAUUCGUCUGCGACAAUGACGACGGCGUGAAAGCGCAGGUCCUCGACCCAUUAAUAAUCCCUAACCAUGCAACCCUAUCGGGUCCCAUGCAACCUUGUGUGAAAUACCCUUUCAUGUUUCUUUAUAUUAAAAUAUUAAAUUCACUUUAAGCAGUGUGUUUCAUAUUACUGUUAUUAAUGGGCUGUGUUGGUUCUAUGUUUUGCCUUUUACCGUGGCUUUUGUCGCAUAUGAUGCACUUUUAA